rfam:Isosphaera pallida ATCC 43644, complete genome.
GUCGCGGUCGCUCAAUGGCAGAGCAAUAGGCCUCAAAGCCUGUGGGUUGCGGGUUCGAUUCCCGCCCGCCUUG